GACGAACGCUGGCGGCGUGCUUAACACAUGCAAGUCGAACGAAGUGGCGAACGGGUGAGUAAUACGUGGGUAACCUGCCCUCCUUUUUGGGAUAAGCCUUGGAAACGGGGUCUAAUACCGAAUAAAGGGGGAUGGGCUCGCGGCCUAUCAGCUUGUUGGUGGGGUGAUGGCCUACCAAGGCGGUGACGGGUAGCCGGCCUGAGAGGGUGACCGGCCACAUUGGGACUGAGAUACGGCCCAGACUCCUACGGGAGGCAGCAGUGGGGGAUAUUGCACAAUGGGCGAAAGCCUGAUGCAGCGACGCCGCGUGGGGGAUGAAGGCUUUCGGGUUGUAAAGCUCUGUUAAUCGGACAGCGGUACCGGAAUAGAAAGCCACGGCUAACUACGUGCCAGCAGCCGCGGUAAUUC
rnacentral:rRNA from 1 species